rnacentral:rRNA from 1 species
GAUGAACGCUGACAGAAUGCUUAACACAUCAGCCAUUGAUUGGUGGCGGACGGGUGAGUAACGCGUAAAGAACUUCCCUCACAGGUAGGGCCAACAUUUGGAACCGAAUGCUAUUCCCUAUUCCUGUUAGAGAUCUUUCCGUCCCAUUCGCUAGUUGGAGAGGUAACGGCUCACCAAGGCGAUGAUGGGUAGCCGGCCUGUGAGGGUGAUCGGCCACAAGGGGACUGAGACACGGCCCUUACUCCUACGGGGGGCAGCAGUGGGGAAUAUUGGACGAUGGACCAAAGUCUGAUCCAGCAAUUCUGUGUGCACGAUGAAGUUUUCGGAAUGUAAAGUGCUUUCAGUUGGGAAGCGGUACCAACAGAAGAAGCGACGGCUAAAUACGUGCCAGCAGCCGCGGUAAUUC